CCCAUUGCACCAAGCUCCUUCUGGUGUCCUUUCCUGGGCAGCAGGCUGCUCUACUCCUCUCUGACCUCCCCUGUCUCUUCACAGCCUGGAGCAGAGCCAGAGCUGGCUGCUGCUGGGGCAGCAGGUCAGAGAGGAGCACUGGCAGAAGUGCAGCGUGCCAGCAGCCAAGCAACCCGACUGGCUGGCAGCAAGACAGGGGAGCUGCAUGAAGGAAGAUAAAGAGGGAUCAAUGAUCUGUCUGGAGAAGUGGAAUUUCAGUGCAGCCCCAAGCACAGAUGCACUGGCAGUUUCAGCAAAAACCUCAAAUACUUGAAUCCAGCCACUCUUCUUGUCAUCACUGAGCUGUACCUGAACCAGCUGCAAAGAUAUGUGUGUGAGCAAAGCCUGUUGAGAAGAAGAGCAAAUUAAAAUUUUAGCAUAAUGCAUGAAACUCCAUUCCAGCAGGAGGAUGAGCCUUUUCGAGGUGAUUGCUGGGAAAUACAGCUUCUGCAAAGUUUCAUAUCUUUCUCAAAACAUGCUCUCUCUUUGAGUCAGGCUGCAAAUAACCUCCCCUCCUUGCUCUCCUAAAGCAAGAUGGAUGGUGUUAGAGGAACAUUCAUCAAGCUGGAUCCAGCUGAGCACAAACUGCUGCCAUGAAACGCAAGGAGUAACUGGAGCAGCGACUCUGAAUGGGAGCAUGCAAUUUCUGCUGAGAACAGUGAGCUUCGUGCCCUGAUAACCAAAAUCAGACAUUGGUUUUACAGUAUCUACUUUUUAUAUAGGUACCACAGA